AAGGAGUGUCUUGUAUGUGAACAUGUAUAUAGCUUGUGUGGUUGGGAAAGAAUACGAUUGUGAAUUGUGGUUUAAAUGUAUGUGAAUUGGGAAAUGAAUAAAACAUGAUUUUCUAGUGUGUUGAUGAUGGUAAUUAUAGAAUCUAUUGGUGAGAUUCUUAGUGUUUAGAAUGAAUGUAGAGGCUUUCAUAUGGGGGGUUAUCCCUAAUACUCUAACGAUCUUUCAUUCUCACUUAGAGAGGAUUGACGCGUGUGGCGAGAGUAGUGGGAGGUCCUAGGGUAGGCACUAUCACUGGAGGUUUAUUUCAUGGUAACAAACUAACCUUGUGUGUGGUCGGGUGAAACCCCUCGGCAAUGGCUUUGCAAAGCAAUAUAGGCCACCACAAGUGUAUAACC
rnacentral:lncRNA from 1 species